CACGUAGGGCGCGAGCGUUGUCCGGAAUUAUUGGGCGUAAAGAGCUCGUAGGCGGUCUGUCGCGUCGGCUGUGAAAACCCGGAGCUCAACUCCGGGCCUGCAGUCGAUACGGGCAGACUGGAGUUCGGCAGGGGAGACUGGAAUUCCUGGUGUAGCGGUGAAAUGCGCAGAUAUCAGGAGGAACACCGGUGGCGAAGGCGGGUCUCUGGGCCGAUGACUGACGCUGAGGUGCGAAAGCGUGGGGAGCGAACAGG
rnacentral:rRNA from 1 species